rnacentral:tRNA from 1 species
GUGGGAUUGUGACUCAGUGGUAGAGUGCUUGCCUACCAUGCAUGAGGCACUGGAUUCAAUCCUCAGCACCACA